rfam:Cucumis sativus cultivar 9930 chromosome 2, whole genome shotgun sequence.
GCCGGUGAUGAACAGUUUUUUGGUUGACAGAUAUGCAAAAAUGUAAUAUUUGCAUUGGUGUUGAAACUUUUUUGAACUAGGACGGUCUGAGGC